rnacentral:tRNA from 1 species
GCAGCGAUAGCUCCAAGUAGUAGAGCGCUUGGUUGAAGCCCAAGGCGGUGGAGGUGCAAGUCCUUCUCGCUGCGCCA